AAUUUGUAAAACACAAGAAAACGACGUCGUUCGAAGCAGAACCGGAAAGCGUCCUUCGGCUUAGCAUCGACAAUCUUCACUGCAUUCGGUGGCUUUUGCGGUCUCUCUCUAGCUCUAGAAACUUCAAAAACAAAAAAGUUUGUGUCUCAUCUUAAUUCACAUCUAUAUUUAGCCGUUGUUGGGUGAAUUCAUCAAUAAGGAAAAAUGCAGUUCUUUGGAGGGUCGGAGAUCAGCCCAUUGCCGCCGCUGCCAACAGCAUCGGGAAACAAUGCCCACAUGAUGUAUGUGUUUAACAGGAAUGGGGUGUGCUUGCUUUACAGGGAAUGGAAUCGCCCUCUUAGGACUCUGAAUGCCCAGCAAGACCAUAAGCUCAUGUUUGGUCUGCUUUUCUCUCUUAAGUCCUUAACAGCUAAGAUGGAUCCCACUAGUGUGGAGAAGGGAAACCUUGGGGUACCUCAGUUACCUGGCCAGGGAUGUUCAUUUCAUAGCUUUCGUACUAAUACGUACAAACUAAGUUUCAUGGAAAGUCCAUCUGGCAUAAAGAUUAUCUUGGUCACUCAUCCUGGAACUGGUGAUCUACGGGAAUCCCUGAAGUAUAUCUAUAACUUGUAUGUUGAAUAUGUUGUCAAGAAUCCGCUCUAUUCUCCGGGAACUCCAUUCAGGUCUGAGCUAUUCGAUAAAGCUCUUGAUCAAUAUGUGAGGGGUCUUGGAUAGCAUCUCAAGAUUACAGUCAGUUUGGCUAUCAGCAUACCAGUAGAUUGGUUCAUGUGCAGGUUGUUCUCGUUGGACGGAUAAUGGAAAACAUGAUGUGUGAAGUUUCAAACUGUCUUUCUGAUUGACUGGACAUUGUUUUGGGUAGUAUAGCGCCACAUUGGUUUUGCGGUAGUUCUAGCUACUGAACUGAUGUCCUUCAGUAUGUAUCCUAUGCAAGUUUUUACUGGUUCAUAAACAGAGAUGAUGGGCUAAUAUUCAGUUGUUGCGAGCCAUCCUCUAUCUCAGUCAAGGCUGAAUUUGGUCUAGAGAUUGACAUUUCAUUUUCGAAAUUGUAUCUCCUACACAUAGACACAGUGCUUUGCGCUUGGAAAUGCAACUCAUCAAGUAUAUGCCCGCUGAUUUUAUUUUUGUGUAGGGGCCUGGUGACACAAUUUUAUGGAGAUAUAUGAAUUUGGGAAGAGUUCUUUCAAGGUUUGUAGGUUGACAACCAUGGGGAAGAGGCUUUCUUGGUUGGCUGAAUGUCCAUGUAGUAAGUCGAAUGGGGUUCUGUUUAAUUUCCUUUUCCUUCUUCCCUUCAACUUCUUUACUGUUUGGUUGAACCAUCCACUGCUGCCAUGAUGGCUCAUUUUGGAGAUGUCCGUCACAUAUAAGCAUUUGCCCGAGCAAAGGUUUAAUGGGGUAGUGUUGGUGGAGGAAAUGAGGCUGGUGAUGCCAAUGUAGGAGUCAGAAGUAGGGGUUUGUGUUGGCCAUGGAGGUUGAGAAGCCAGUUAAACAGUUGGUUCAUGUUUGGAAUGUUGCAAUAGAGAAUGUGAACAAGAAAUUACUUUCA